UUUUUCUUUUAUGGCCACAGGAUAUGGAAGUUCCCAGCCUAGGGGUUGAAUUGAAACAGCAGCUGCUGACCUAUGCCACAGCCACAGCAACGCUGGAUGUGAGAUAUGUCUGCUACCUACACAACAUGUGGCAGCAGCACCGGAUACUUAACCUACUGAAUGAGGCCAGAGAAUGAACCCACAUCCUCUAGGACGCUAUGUUGGAUCCUUAACCCACUGAGUCACAAUGGGAACUCCCACAUGUGCUUUCUGAGGUCAAAAUAACACCAGCAGAUAUAUCUCUGGGGUCAUGCACAAUUAAAACCAAAUGAAGAUGGCACAUAUUUUUAGGAGAUGAACGGGAGGUGUCAGAAAUAGCUAACUAAUUUUAUUCUUCCAAAUAUUUAUGCUUCAAUAUCCAGGCUUAUUGCAGUUGUAAUCGGAGAAGCCUAACACAGUAGAGAAUUUAUGUCAGGCUGCAGUUGGUCACUAUUUGGACAAAGUUUUUAGCAGACUCAGAGUUCUGGCUAUACCAGGAAAUGUUUCAGGAGCAACAGCAGCAACUACUUUUCUGUGCUUAUUAUAAAUCAGGGUAGGUUUAAAAUUUUCACAUGUGUAAGCUAAUUUAAUUUAAAUCAUAUUUCUUUACUUAUAAAUAGACAAUAUAAAACUAAAUGGAUUUGAUUCCUGCUGAAAAUAAUUUAGGAAAAUUUACAACUCUCAUCUCAAUUUUUUUCCUUAAAUUGCUCUACAUCACCAACAAUAAAAAUCUCUAGGUAUCUAGACCCCAACUAAUGACCACUGAAAACUUUAUUAAGUACAUCAGCAACACAAACUGCGGACUACCAGCCUGGUCUCCUGGCACUGGAAUCCCUAUAGUCUGCUGCUCAGGGCUUUGCCUAAGCCAGUUAGAUAUGCCCUCUGCAACCUUGUUCUGAAUCUCACCUCCUUUCUGGGUUAAUUUUUGCUUUUAGACUCUGAGGAAUAAAGACAGACAGAGAUCACUGUAUGGAAAGUGAAAAAUUAUCAGUACCAUAAGCUUGGGUGAUUGCUGGAAUCAGAAAACCAUUAGAAAUUGAGUUAUUAGGAACAAUUUUGCUAUUUAUUCAUUUUUAUUUGUUGGAAAUGUGUUUCAUUCUGCAUAUUUCCUCACACUUGUCGGCCCUCUUCAUGAUUCUUAGUAAAAAUCCCAGGGAUACUAAGUGCAUAGUUCUGAACUUUGAAUAUGGUAUUAUAACCUGUGCAAUUUUAAUCACUGGGGAAGUUGGGGAUAGUUACAGCAGUGAUGUACUUGUUCUUAAAAGUAACAUAUGAUUUUCAUGAUUCAAUUACUGUAGCUGGUCUUCUUAUAAGAUAUAAAAUGCAAAUUUAGGAGUUAUCCUUACCUGAAAUUAGCAAUAAUUAUUUUUUUACUCACAAAAUUAAUUUUAAAAGUAGGAAAAUUGUCAAUAUUUAAAUAAAUCUUUACACAUACACCAAGUAUCCACUAGGGGUGGAUAUAGGCUAGCCAUAUAGGAUACUAAAAUGAUUAAAAUAUAGAUAUUAUCCAUGUGAUGUGUUUAGAGACUAGAGAAAUAAAUAAUGCUAUCUGAGGUAAUUAAUCACUAUAUGCUUUUCUCCCUUUCCACCAAUAAUGAGACAGAGUACUGCAGAAUAAGUGACGGAAAAAGAGAUUCAGGUCAUGAGGCAGUAGCGGAAAGACAGAGACAGAGAGACUUCUGGUAAUGUUCAUAAACGAUUAGAGGUAAAAGUAAAGAAAACAAAACUAAUUAGAUAUGAAACAGGAAAUUAAAAAUGCAGAUCCAUGUGAAAAAAAUGUCUCUGUUCAUUCGGACUGCUAUAACAAAAACAACAUAGAUUGAGUGACUUCAACAACAAACAUUUAUUUCUCAUAUCUGGGACAUCCAAGAAGAAGGAUCCUUCAGAUUCGGUGUCUGCUAAUAGCCUGCUUCCUGGUUCUUAAACUACUAUCUUCUUGCUAUGUCCUCACUUAGAAGUAGGGGUAUGGGAGCCCCGGGGGUGGGGUGGGGUCACUUGUAUAAGCUCCCUAAUCUCAUUCAUGCGGGCUCUGUUCUUAGGACCUAAUCACUUCCAAAGGUCUCACAUUCAAAUACGAUCACACUGAGAAUUAAGUUUCAAUAUACGAAUUUGGGGGGGACAUAAACUUUCAGCCUAAAAUAUCCAAGACACAAAAAUAAACAAAGAUCAAUAUGAAUAUAUAUGAUUAUUUGAGAGUUGAGGAGAGUAUCAGGUUGAUAAAUAUAGUAAGAGGUAAGGAUUUUAUAUCCAAGUUAGUUGUCCUUCUAAUACUAAGACUAUAGCAGCAUAUAGAACACUACAAAAUAGGAAUAACAACAUAUUUAAAAAGCAACAUUCAGGAAAUAUACUAGCCCACAAUUCUUUCUUGAGAAUCUACAAAAGGAUUACCUUCAUCUAAAGAAGAGAUAAUGGUGAAAAUACUAGCAAAAAGAAGGAGGGUUAACAUUUCAUAUAGUUAAAAAGUAGUUCUAAUUUCUUUAAAUGGAUAUAUACAUAUAUAUAUAAAUAUGUAUAAAUUAAACAUAUAAAUAUAUAUGCUCUGAUGAAGAAUUCAUAUAAUAAAAAGGGAGAUUAGAGAAAGAAAAAAUAUAGUUUAAUCCUACUACCCAAUGCAUAGUAAAUAGGUGUGAGUCAAAAAUAUCAAAGCAGUGUUAUCAAGUAUAACUACCAUAUUAUACAUAAGAUCCUCAGAUCUUGUAUGUACAACUGAAAAUUUUACCCUUUUACCAACCUCUCCCUAUUUCCUCCAGCCGCUAACUCCUGGCAACCACUUUUCUGCUCUCCACUUUAUGUUUUUAUAAGCUCAAAAAUUUUUUUUCACAUAUAAGUUGUAUGAUGCAGUGUUUACCUUCCUCUGUCUGGAAUUACUAAUGAAGGCUAAAUAAGAUAACAGGAGCCUAAGUUAAUUUUUAAAGGUAUAAGAACAGGGGUAACUAUUAGAACAAAAAUACAAACUUUCUUAAAUAUUGAAUUUUUUUAAUUAUGUAAGGAAUUACAUUGUACAGAGAAAAGAAAAAUAAAUACUUUAUAAUGAACAUAGUAUAACAUAAAAUAAUGUUAAAUUUGAGACCCUAUGUAUCA
rnacentral:lncRNA from 1 species